UCACGGCACAGUUGAAUGUAGAGACUGAUUCCAAGCCCUGGGAUAAACUAAAGGAAGAAAGAACACCUGUGACUUAGAAUACUGAAGCAGCAUAUGUUUUAGAAAAUGAGAAGUCAUGGGACAAAUAAACGCCAGCAGAUAGAAAACAGUGAAGACUUUAUUGUCACAAGUCAGACAGGUGUCAUGAAGAGAAUGAACAAAAGCAAGCAGUGUCCAGAAAGGUUGCAGAGGGGAGUGAGAGAGAGGC